GCGUCGGUAGUUAAACGGUUUAGAGCACGCGCUCCCUGAUAGAGUGAGAUGUGGGUUUGAGUCCCGCUUGACGCA